AACAAUCUAGCCGACCAUUUUAACUAUAAAUAUAGAUGCAUAAUUCCAUUGAAGAUACACACAAAAAUUUUCACCACGAAAAAUUGCUAUUGGUACUCCUUAUAAUAAAAUGGCUGCAAAUCUUGGCAACAAUGGAGAUGAUUAUGGCGUUUACAUUUGUAUGUAUAGAUUCGAUUUUCACUAGAUCUUUUACUCUUUACAGUCUUACAAUAAUCAUUAACAGAUCCUAUUAUUAAUACGACUUUAUUCUUUUCUAUAUAGGGUGCUUUGAUUCAUGCUAAUAUUUUGAUUCAUGCUAAUAUUAAGAAACAUCAAGUGAACAAGCUUUAAAGAUUCAUCAGAUCUGAGAGUGUAGAAUUAUGGAAAAUUUUACACUUACAUGGGGUAAAAAUAACUAAAAAACACACACCAACCAACAAAAAAAGGCACAUCAACAGCUUUCUUCUUGGUCAUAGCAUCCAUAGAUGAAGAAAAGGUUUUCAUCUCUUACUAUAUCUUAUAAAUCCUUCGUUCUUGGUCUUUGAUUUUGGCGUCUCUCUUCAUCGGAGAUUAGAAGAGAAACCACAUCAAGAAAAUAAAUAAGAGAUAAUGUCUGAUGAGCAUUCUGUGAAAGAGAAACGAAAACGAUGACUUGAUGAGGGUGAAGUUGGAGAGAGAAUAAAAAGAAAGUUGCUUCCUUUCAGUUUUGUUUUUCUAAUUCACUCAUUUAUUCAUUUUUCUAUGUGUCACAAAGUAUUAAAGUGUUCUAUUUUAUACUUUCGAUUGGUAUCAUAUUUCAUUUUUUCAUGGUGCGUCGUUAUGUACAAUUUUGUCAAACAAAUAUCAAUGCACCGAAAAACAAAGUAUCUACAAUUAGCGUGGACGAUGUUUAAGUG
rnacentral:lncRNA from 1 species